rnacentral:lncRNA from 1 species
AGCGUUAUGGAGGAGGAGGCCAUGGGUGGUUUACCCCUGCUUCUGGUAGAUUUUUCAGUUUUUCAGUAUACAGAUGACAUUUUUGAAAAAAAUUAGAUACUCUGAAAUAAGCUGUGAGGGUAAAUGAUUAUAAGGUGAGGGCCCAACUCUCUUUUAAAGGCUCCGAGGGCCAGAAGGUCAGCAGCCUUAAUGCUGCUUCUUGCAUUGUAAGUUUGGAGAGUUAAGAGAUGAUGUUAGAUCUGUUGCUGACUUAUUCUGAAGCUUUAAGAAACAUUGAUGUUAAAAAUAAUUCAUUUGACCCCUGCUUACUUAACAUUAUGGAAAUACUUCAGAUGCCUGACAGUAGAGGGUUUUUGACUGUUCAGUGGAUGUCUGUAGUUUCACAAAUGACUUCCCAGGUUUCCUUGAUAUGAAAUGU